rnacentral:misc_RNA from 1 species
UUGUAUGCUCAUUCUCUUCGCCAAUUCUACAAAUCAUGUCGCAUUCAGGGCAAUGUGGAUUUCAUUUUUGGAAACUCAGCUGCAGUUUUUCAAGAUUGCCAAAUCUUAGUGAGUCCCAGGCAAGUAAAGCCCGAAAAAGGAGAAAAUAAUGCGGUCACAGCACACGGCAGGAUAGACCCUGCCCAACCAACUGGUUUUGUGUUUCAAAAUUGCUCCAUUAAUGGCACUCCAGAAUAUAUGGCAUUGUACAAUAGCAAACCUAAAGUUCACAAGAAUUACUUGGGGAGGCCAUGGAAGGAAUACUCGAGAGUUGUUUACAUAAAUUGUAACUUUGAAGCUCUUAUAACAGCACAAGGGUGGCUGCCUUGGAGUGGUGAUUUCGCACUGAAAACACUAUACUAUGGAGAAUAUAAGAAUUCUGGACCAGGCUCUAAUUUGUCUCAGAGAGUAACCUGGAGUAGUCAGAUUCCGGCAGAGCAUGUAAACGCUUAUUCAGUACAGAAUUUCAUUCAAGGAGAUGAUUG